AAGUCCUUCUCAUCAUUUGCACUUUACUUUUUUUCCUCCUCUUCUAAUUACAUUUACUGAUUGCAUGAUUACACUCAUUUUAGUAAUAAAAUGCACCGUAAAUAAUUACGUUAAUUGCAAUUAAAAUACCGGGAACCGAUACGUUAUGAAGUCCCAAGGGUUUAAAACUAAAGAUUCUGUGACUGUUCGGUUUUUUCAGGUAACCAUUGAAGACCCCUAUUUUGUAGGGUUUUCUCUUUAAAAAUAAAUUUUUUAAAUAUAGGUUUCAUAGAAAUCUCGUGACCACUCAGGAACUUUGAAUUUAUAGCUGACGUGGCAUUUCAGCAGAUACGGCAGAUUUAUAUCAGUCACCCGUCACUCUCUCCCCCUC
rnacentral:lncRNA from 1 species